rnacentral:rRNA from 1 species
AAUGAACGUUGGCGGCGUGGAUUAGGCAUGCAAGUCGUACGGGUCGGUGUAGCAAUACAACGGCAAGUGGCGAAAGGGAGAGUAACAAGUAGAUACCUACCCUCUGGUCGGGGAUACCGCGGCAUAACCGCAAGUAAUACCCGAUAAAAUCUCCGCAUCAAUGGUGUGAUUCCGCCGGACGAGGGGUUUGCGUUCUAUCAGCUUGUUGGUGAGGUAAUGGCUCACCAAGGCUAAGACGGAUACGGGGUGUGAGAGCAUGCCCCCGCUCACUGGGACUGAGACACUGCCCAGACACCUACGGGUGGCUGCAGUCGAGAAUCUUCGGCAAUGGGCGCAAGCCUGACCGAGCGACGCCGCGUGCGGGAUGAAGGCCUUCGGGUUGUAAACCGCUGUCGAGGGGAAUGAAGUGUAGGUGGGUACUCCCAUCUAUUUGACAGAUCCCUGGAGGAAGCAUGGGCUAAGUUCGUGCCAGCAGCCGCCGUAAGAC